UGAUACCAGAUAAAUACCUUUUUCCCUUGAGGAGAUUGGGUGGGGGCAGGGGGUGUUAAUCCAGUGAUUGCUGUGGAAAUUAACCGUGGAUUUCCUUGCUUGUGAGUGUUCAUGUCAGUGAAAGAUUUGUCUUUACAUUUAUUGUUCUUUGGUGAAGUUCAUUAACAGUUCCCCAUUAAAAUAUUCAGUUUGCUCCAAAGUGCAACUAUUUUGGCAAGAAUUAAGCAUUUUCAAACACAUGAAAUACCUCUACACAAUGCACCCAUUAAAUAAAGAUGAACGUUACUAUGUACCUG